UACAGAGGGUGCAAGCGUUGUUCGGAAUUAUUGGGCGUAAAGGGCGCGUAGGCGGCCAUGCAGGUCAGCUGUGAAAACUCGAGGCUCAACCUCGAGACGUCGGUUGAAACCGUGUGGCUAGAGUCCGGGAAGAGGAGAGUGGAAUUCCCGGUGUAGCGGUGAAAUGCGCAGAUAUCGGGAAGAACACCUAUGGCGAAGGCAGCUCUCUGGGACGGUACUGACGCUGAGACGCGAAAGCGUGGGGAGCGAACAGG
rnacentral:rRNA from 1 species